UGCCUUACCAUCUCAACAGUGGUGUCAUUGGGGUAAUAGAAGAGUUGAUAUUUUCGCGUCAGUGCUGCAUUUGAAUCGUACCAAUCUGCUAUAAAAGCAUAUCUUCCAUCAAAACUUGACAUCCUAAGCUUCGCUACCACUGUUAAACAAAAUAUAUCUCAACAAGAACAACUGUAAAACGCUAGUUGAUUGCAGCAAAGUUAGCAAACGAGAAUAAAACAGUUUACAAAAUUGAUUUUAAUAAUAUAUAUUGUAUUGUUG